AGAAAGAAAGAAAAAAGAAAAGGAAAAGAAAGAAAGAAAAAGAAAAAAAGAGCAAAGGGAAAACUGGAAAACUCAUAACUUUGUAAAAAUUAAAUAACAUAAUCAGUAUAUCAAAGAAAAACAUCACAAAAGAAGCCAUAAAAUAGAGGUAAAAUGAAAAUACAACCUACCAAAAUGUAUGGGAUGUGGUCAAAGCAGUCCUAAACGGCAAUUUUACAGCUAUCAAGCUUGUAUUAAGCAAGAAGACCUCAGAUCAGAAAUCUCAUUCUGGGGCUGUUUGACAUGGCAGUUAGGAUCAUGCUUGGGGCACCCACAUCCCGUUUUUGUGCACCUGGGUCGGGUUCCAGCCCCUCUCCUGAUUCAACAGUCUGCUAAUGCAUAGCGCAGGAGGCAGCUGGUGAUGGCUCACGUACUUGGGGACCUGCCCUCCACGUGGGAGGCCUGGAAGGAGCUCCCAGCUCCCAGCUCUGACCUGACUCAGCUCUGCUUGUUGCGGGUAUUUGGGGAAUAAAUCAGCAGACGGGCACUCUUGCUCUUUUUCUCUUUUUCAAAUAAUUUUUUAAAAAGUUGUAUCUAACUUUACAACUUAAAGAACUAGUAAAAGAAAAACAAACUGAAACCCAAAACUAGGGCAGGCAUUUAGCUUGGCAGCUAAGAUACCAUUUGGGCUGCCUGCAUCCCAUACUGGAGUACCUGAUCUGCGUCUCAGUUCCACUUCUGAUCCGGCUUCCUGCUAAUGCACACCCUGGGAGGCAGCCAGGGAUAGUUCAAGUAGUUGAGUCCCUGAUAUUCACGAGAGAGACAUGGAUUGAGCUCCCAAAUGUUGGUGUUAGCCUGACCCAGGCCUGGCUGUUGCAGUCAUUUGAGGAGUGAACAAGUAGAUUGAAAAUCUCUAUCUCUUUUUCAAAUAAAAUUUAAAAAAAGCCAAAGCUAGUAGGAGGAAGGGAGGAAUAAAGACAUUAGAGAUACCUAGAGAACAGAAAAACAACAUAGAGUCAGCAAAACCAAAGUCAGUGGUUCAAAAAGAUGAACAACGCCGGCGCCGCGGCUCAAUAGGCUAAUCCUCCGCCUUGCGGCACCGGCACACCGGGUUCUAGUCCCGGUCGGGGCGCCGGAUUCUGUCCCGGUUGCCCCUCUUCCAGGCCAGCUCUCUGCUGUGGCCAGGGAGUGCAGUGGAGGAUGGCCCAAGUGCUUGGGCCCUGCACCCCAUGGGAGACCAGGAGAAGUACCUGGCUCCUGCCAUCGGAUCAGCGCGGUGCGCCGGCCGCAGCGUGCCGGCCCCGGCGGCCAUUGGAGGGUGAACCAACGGCAAAAGGAAAACCUUUCUCUCUGUCUUUCUCUCUCACUGUCCACUCUGCCUUUCAAAAAAAAAAAAAAAAAAAAGAUGAACAACUAUAACUAAACUUUAGCUAUUUUUACCAAGGAAAAAGAGAGAAAAACAAAUUACUAAAACAAUUAGAAACAAGAGCAGGGACUAUUACUGAUUUUACAGAAAUAAAAACCAUUACAAGAGGGGCCAGCAUUGUGUUGUAGCGGGUAAAGUCACUGCACCUGGGAAAAGCAGCAGAAGUCGGAGCAACGGCUGAAGGCCUUCCCACAUUCACUGCCCCCCAAAGGGCUGUUCGGGGAGAGUUUCCCACAGUCAUUGCCCUGGGAAGGCCUUUCUCCAGCGUGAACUCUCCGGUGUUUAAUCAGGCUGGGGUUGCCGGCAAAGGGUUUCCCAGGAGACUCACACUCACAGCAUCCAUCAGGUUUUACUCUGUUAUGAACACUCUGGUGUUGAAUGAGAUGAGUGGCAUGGCUAAAACUAUUCCACAUCUCUGCGCGCAUAAGAUAUUUCGUCUGAUUCUCUGAUGCCCAGCAGGUGUGAAUCUGCACCCAGAAUCACGGCGCUCGUUAUGCCCUGUGCAGUGUGCAAAUCUCCCCCGGCUUCAGUGCUCUUGUCCACACCGGGCGUGAAAGUCUCCCGUGGCCCCCAAGGCCUUCCCACCCUCCCCACCCUCCCUACGUGUGCAAAGCUUCUCUGAUGUGUUCUCUCUGUAGGUUCCCACCGGCCAGGCCUCGUCUCCUCCCUUCCAAGGGCUUGCUCACCUGCUGCUGCACCUGCUGCUGCUGUGACAGUUUUACACUGAACUCAGAUCUGCUCCCAGAUGCUUCAACACACACAUGGUUUGUGCCCGGGAUAUGAGGCCUGAUGUGCAGCCAAGUGUGAAAUGUCUUUCACACACACGUCACAGGGUGACGACCUGAAAGCAGAGAAAUGCCGGCCAAGUUCACGUAAACUCUGAUAACAGCAAACGGCCCCAUUGCAUGUGCCCAUCUGACCCAGGGAUGAGUUCACGGGAUUGUUGGAAACAUACGAAACCUUGGGUAAUGUCCACUGCUCCUCAGAAGGGGACGUUGCCAAGGCUGUUCUGCAUUCUGCAUUGCUGAAGCUCAAGGAUGCAUUCAAGUUCAAGGGCCUGGAGGGAGGAGAGAAGCCUGAAUAAACUUUGGUCAAAUCAUGUUAGCUCAUUUUUUGGGGUUAUAUUCUUUUCUGUUAAUUUGUAGAUUCAU